rnacentral:misc_RNA from 1 species
AAAGUCGUAACAAGGUUUCCGUAGGUGAACCUGCGGAAGGAUCAUUAUUGAAUAAAUCUGGCAUUGGUUGUAGCUGGCUCCCCGGAGCAUGUGCACACCUCUGUCACCUUUAUCUUUCCACCUGUGCACACACUGUAGUCCUGGAUACCUCUCGCUGAAAGGCGGAUGCGGAGCCUGCUGCUGCUUUCUUGAAAGCUCAGCUUGCUCUGAAUUUCCAGGUCUAUGAUUUUUUCAUACACCCCAAACGAAUGUUAUAGAAUGUCAUAUCAUUGGGCCUUGUGCCUAUAAACCUUAUACAACUUUCAACAACGGAUCUCUUGGCUCUC